rnacentral:rRNA from 1 species
UACAGAGGUGGCAAGCGUUGUCCGGAUUUACUGGGCGUAAAGAGCGCGCAGGCGGUCGUUCAAGUCGCGUGUGAAAGCCCCCGGCUCAACUGGGGAGGGUCACGCGAUACUGAUCGACUCGAAGGCAGGAGAGGGUAGUGGAAUUCCCGGUGUAGUGGUGAAAUGCGUAGAUAUCGGGAGGAACACCAGUGGCGAAGGCGACUACCUGGCCUGUUUCUUGACGCUGAGGCGCGAAAGCUAGGGGAGCAAACGGG